AAGAUUUUAAGUUAAAACAAACUAUAGGCCUUCAAAGCCUGAAAUAAAAAUGAUUUUUAAAUCUUG
rnacentral:tRNA from 1 species